UGUAAAUGAUGUUUUUCACGAUGGUCUUCAUAUGUCACAGUGAUGAUACCAUAAAUCAAUUUCUGAUACACAGAU